AUUGAACGCUGGCGGCAUGCUUUACACAUGCAAGUCGAACGGCAGCACGGACUUCGGUCUGGUGGCGAGUGGCGAACGGGUGAGUAAUACAUCGGAACGUACCCAGUAAUGGGGGAUAACUAUCCGAAAGGAUAGCUAAUACCGCAUACGCCCUACGGGGGAAAGAGGGGGAUCGCAAGACCUCUUGUUAUUGGAGCGGCCGAUGGCUGAUUAGCUAGUUGGUAGGGUAAAGGCCUACCAAGGCAACGAUCAGUAGCGGGUCUUAGAGGACGAUCCGCCACACUGGAACUGAGACACGGUCCAGACUCCUACGGGAGGCAGCAGUGGGGAAUCUUGGACAAUGGGCGCAAGCCUGAUCCAGCAAUGCCGCGUGCGUGAAGAAGGCCUUCGGGUUGUAAAGCGCUUUUGUCAGGGAGCAAAUCCUUGUGGCUAAUACCCACCGGGGAUGAGAGUACCUGAAGAAUAAGGACCGGCUAACUACGUGCCAGCAGCCGCAGUAAUAC
rnacentral:rRNA from 1 species